rnacentral:rRNA from 1 species
UGGCAUAUCAAAAGCGGAGGAAAAGAAACUAACAAGGAUUCCCCUAGUAACUGCGAGUGAAGCGGGAAAAGCUCAAAUUUAAAAUCUGGUGGUCUUUGGCCAUCCGAGUUGUAAUCUAGAGAAGUGUUAUCCGCGCUGGACCGUGUACAAGUCCCCUGGAAUGGGGCGUCAUAGAGGGUGAGAAUCCCGUCUUUGACACGGACUACCAGGGCUUUGUGAUGCACUCUCAAAGAGUCGAGUUGUUUGGGAAUGCAGCUCAAAAUGGGUGGUAAAUUCCAUCUAAAGCUAAAUAUUGGCGAGAGACCGAUAGCGAACAAGUACCGUGAGGGAAAGAUGAAAAGAACUUUGGAAAGAGAGUUAAACAGUACGUGAAAUUGUUGAAAGGGAAACGCUUGAAGUCAGUCGCGUCUGCCAGGGAUCAACCUUACUUUUGUGAGGCGUACUUCCUGGUUGAUGGGUCAGCAUCAGUUUUGGUUGCUGGAUAAAGGUCAGAGAAAUGUGGCACCCUCGGGUGUGUUAUAGUCUUUGAUCAGAUACAGUGGCUGGGACUGAGGAACUCAGCGCCGCAAGGCUGUCUUAGGAUGCUGGCAAAAUGGCUUUAAUCGACCCGUCUUGAAACACGGACAAAAGGAGUCA